ensembl:lncRNA
GGAUUUUCUUCGCAGAUGUGCUGAAAUACAAAGACGACAUAUUAACAUGCAUCUAUAAAUUAUUCCCAGAUAUUAGCUGGGAAAGAAACCUCAGAGGAAGAGGAAAGCUCAGUCACUACCAUAAACAUCAUUUUUUUUUCCUGUUUUUACACCUCAGCUUGCAAUGGCACCUUGUGCAUUAUGCAUCACAAGAAAAUGACUGCCAGUAAAUGCAGAGCAACUUCCUGGAGCUUUAUGUGUGCUGCGUUUGACAGACUCUGAGCUGAAUUUCUAAAGACCACCACCCCACACCCCCCCAAGCAGAUAACUGGGUGCACAGAGAAAGAGCAAUUUAAAGCGGGCAUCUCCUGUAGUCCUUGGAUGAAACACUAACAUUUUGCAGACAGCUUCAGUGUGCAAAGCAGAGCAGCGAGAAAACGUCGAUCGAAGCAUGCACAGGAUCUGAAACCUUGGAAGAAUGUUGUUUCGUGGGGACUGCUCUGCCUGUUUUUGUUAAGACAGAAUUGCAGGAUUGGGAAAAUCAAAGAGGAGAUAAAUCACAGACUGACCAUAUGACCAGGAUUUCCAGAUGCCUGGGGCAAACAGACCUGCUUCCUCCUUUGUGCUGCCAGUCAGGUCCUCCCUCUGCAGUCCUAUACGGGAAGAAGAUUUAUAAUAGCUGCAUGCCAUGCCAGUGUCUCAAAGAGACAGCAUCACGCCAUGUGGAGGAUUUUUAUAUGGGGUUUAACUUUGCUCCACUGAAUUGGAAAGGCUCUCAGUUGCCUGACUCUUACCUCUCUGACUACUGUUGUACACAGAUUUCUCCAAUGACAUAGAAGCCUUUACUCCAGAUGGAAAAAUCAGCCCUCAAAUUUCAAAGUCUUUGGAUUUCUGAAAUAACGGUGAACAUGCAAGAGUGAAAAUGCUUGCAGUCAAAUAAACUUCUCUACCAUAAACAGUCAAGGAGACCUUGGAGUGAAUUUUCAAAGAUCAUCUUCAUGCUGCCUUUUGAAUUUUCUGACUAGUUACUUAUUUAAUGUUUUUGAUAUUUUCCUAAAGUUCUCAAGAGUUAAUAAAACAUGAGCAAGCAUUGUUAGCCUCAUUUUUAUAGUGGUUAGGUAAGGUAAAUGUAAGGUCAGGUAAGGUAAAGGUAAAGGUGAUCCCUGAUCUUAUCUUGCUAAAGGUUAAAUGAUAUGUUAAUAGAAGAUAGUGUAAUAUAAUAAGUGUAAUACCAUAAACUCAGAACUGGGUGGACAAUCCUAGGCUGAUAUGCAUUGUCAGUUUUUCAUGUCAAAGAAAUGCAUUCUUUCCUACUGUAAUACAGCAAAUUGUGAAACUGCUGCUCACGCUCCAUUGAGAUGCUUUAAUAUACUUGGAUAAACAAGGACUAUUCAUAUGUCGAAAGCUAAAAAUAUUUUCUUCUGAAGAUGCUGUCAUGGAACAGAGACAGGAACAAAACUCACUGUUGAGUUCAGUAAUAGAAAAGAAGGUACUUUUUUACAGUUGAAAGGACUCUUUUUUUCAUCACUGCAACUGCAGCUGAGAUAGGUGAACCAAUAACUGGCCCUCAGAUAUAUUAAAUUAUGUUUCAUUGACG